rnacentral:lncRNA from 1 species
UGUGUUCACAUGUGUGUCCUUCAAUGGCAUACAAACUAAUGCUAAAGUAUUUGAAUUAAAAAAAAAAAACUGUUGCUAAAGUAUAAAACUAUGAAAUUAUGAUGCCAACAAAAAUGGCUAAACUCAUUCUCAUAAUUAAUGCUAAGAAAAUAGGGGAAAAUCCGCAUACUCUAUGUUGUGCUAGGCUUGCUACUCUUUCUCCAUUUCCAUUUCAUUCAAAUUAAUCAAAGAAGAUGAAAUGAACUAGUUUUUUUAUUAAUGUGAGUUAUAAAUAUAUAUUAGUCUCUCCGUCCUAUUUUAGUUGAUCAUCUUACUAAAAAUAA